GAUGAAGAACGCAGCGAAAUGCGAUAAGUAAUGUGAAUUACAGAAUUCAGUGAAUCAUCGAAUCUUUGAACGCACAUUGCGCCCCCUGGUAUUCCGGGGGGCAUGCCUGUUCGAGCGUCAUUUCACCACUCAAGCCUCGCUUGGUAUUGGGCAACGCGGUCCGCCGCGUGCCUCAAAUCGUCCGGCUGGGUCUUCUGUCCCCUAAGCGUUGUGGAAACUAUUCGCUAAAGGGUGUUCGGGAGGCUACGCCGUAAAACAACCCCAUUUCUAAGGUUGACCUCGGAUCAGGUAGGGAUACCCGCUGAACUUAAGCAUAUCAAUAAGCGGAGGA
rnacentral:misc_RNA from 1 species